GGACAGGCAGCUAGCCUCCCCUGGGGCAGGCAGGGACCAGAAGAGCCCCAGAGGGUCUUGUAGAACAGAGGCGGAGGAGGAGAGGACAGAAAGGACAGGGAGACAACCAAGGAGGCCCUGAAGAGACUGAAUGGGAGAGUGUGACUGCUCCCUGCAAAUCCUCCCCAUGUCUGGACUGAGGAAAUAGCUCGAAGCACCAUCCGUCUCCUGGUGGAGCAGCAGCAGCGUCCAGAGGCUGGGGGCUGAGGCUCCUUGUUUCCAACAAGCUCCUAGGUGAUGGAUGCUGCUGGCAGGUGCACCACACUGAGUUGCAAGACUCGUCCCUCCAGGCACCCCCUUCACAGGUUCAGCAUCCUCGCUGCCAUCUCCUCACAAAUGCGGGAAGGGAGCCACCACCCCAGGCUGGGCUAACUCGCAUGAGGACACCACUAACAUUGUCUGCGUUCCAUUUACGUUAGACAGGCAGGUCUACAAUGUUUGAAGUUUACAGAUUUCUUGGAUAUAGCAGUGAAAGGUUUGUAUUUUUUAUCUGUAAGGAAAAAUUGUGAAGUUUACAUCAUUGCAAAAUAAACAGAACUGUGACUUCUGUUUCACAA
rnacentral:lncRNA from 10 species